rnacentral:rRNA from 1 species
UACGUAGGGCGCAAGCGUUAUCCGGAAUUAUUGGGCGUAAAGAGCUCGUAGGCGGUCUGUUGCGUCCGCUGUGAAAACUCGGGGCUUAACCCCGAGCCUGCAGUGGAUACGGGCAGACUAGAGGUAGGUAGGGGAGAAUGGAAUUCCCGGUGUAGCGGUGAAAUGCGCAGAUAUCGGGAGGAACACCGGUGGCGAAGGCGGUUCGCUGGGCCUUACCUGACGCUGAGGAGCGAAAGCGUGGGGAGCGAACAGG